rnacentral:rRNA from 1 species
AUGAUCUACCUAUGAGAUGGGGAUAACUACUAGAAAUAGUAGCUAAUACCGAAUAAGGUCAAUUAAUUUGUUAAUUGAUGAAAGGAAGCCUUUAAAGCUUCGCUUGUAGAUGAGUCUGCGUCUUAUUAGUUAGUUGGUGGGGUAAUCUUAUUAGUUGGUGGGGUAA